AUUGAACGCUGGCGGCAGGCCUAACACAUGCAAGUCGAACGGUAACAGGAAACAGCUUGCUGUUUCGCUGACGAGUGGCGGACGGGUGAGUAAUGUCUGGGAAACUGCCUGAUGGAGGGGGAUAACUACUGGAAACGGUAGCUAAUACCGCAUAACGUCGCAAGACCAAAGAGGGGGACCUUCGGGCCUCUUGCCAUCGGAUGUGCCCAGAUGGGAUUAGCUAGUAGGUGGGGUAACGGCUCACCUAGGCGACGAUCCCUAGCUGGUCUGAGAGGAUGACCAGCACACUGGAACUGAGACACGGUCCAGACUCCUACGGGAGGCAGCAGUGGGGAAUAUUGCACAAUGGGCGCGAGCCUGAUGCAGCCAUGCCGCGUGUAUGAAGAAGGCCUUCGGGUUGUAAAGUACUUUCAGCGGGGAGGAAGGGAGUAAAGUUAAUACCUUUGCUCAUUGACGUUACCCGCAGAAGAAGCACCGGCUAACUCCGUG
rnacentral:rRNA from 1 species